UACGAAGGGGGCGAGCGUUGUUCGGAAUUACUGGGCGUAAAGGGCGCGCAGGCGGCCUUAGAAGUCAGAUGUGAAAGCCCCGGGCUCAACCUGGGAAUGGCAUUUGAUACUCUGAGGCUGGAGUACGGGAGAGGUGAGUGGAAUUUCCGGUGUAGCGGUGAAAUGCGUAGAUAUCGGAAGGAACACCUGUGGCGAAAGCGGCUCACUGGACCAUAACUGACGCUGAGGCGCGAAAGCUAGGGGAGCAAACAGG
rnacentral:rRNA from 1 species